GAUGAACGCUGGCGGCGUGCCUAACACAUGCAAGUCGAACGGAAAGGCCCCUUUGGGGGUACUCGAGUGGCGACCGCGUGCGUAACACGUGAGUAACCUUCCCUUGACUUCGGGAUUACUUUAGGUAACUGGGGCUAAUACCGGAUCGGAAUCAUUUCUGCAUGGUGGUGGUUGGAAAGCUUCGGCGGUUUUGGCUGGACUGGCGGCUUAUCAGCUUGUUGGUGGGGUAGUGGCUUACCAAGGCGUCUAAGGGUAGCCGGACUGAGUGGGCGACCUGCCACAUAGGGACUGAGGGGAGGCACAGGCUGGGAAGGGAGGGAGCAGUGGGGAAUACUGAACAAGGGGCGGAGGGCGGGUGAAGAAGGGCCGCGGACGGGAUAACGGCGUUCGGGGGGUAAAACGCAUGUAGCAGGAGCGAAGCAUGUGGUGACGGUACCUGCAGAAGAAGCACCGGCUAACUACGUG
rnacentral:rRNA from 1 species